AGUUAGACAGUGUGCAGGAGUUUCUUUGGUACUUUUGACCUACUCGUUCCUCUCCAACGCACCUGUCUCAUGUUAUAGAUGUGCAAAGUAUUUUUCUCUGUUCUAUCCUGUUGCCUACAUUCAA